ensembl:lncRNA
UAAACCAUCACCACAGUAAAAAGCUCCUGUCACAGCCGUCUGUAAGCAAAAAGCUAUUAAUAGGCCAAAUCACACUGACCGGAGGAUUUGCAGCCCCACUCGCUCCGACGAGUGCGAGAGCUGCGGAGAUCACACAGUGCAUCUGUGUUUUCAUGGGAGAAGACAUAAGACCGUUUUCUGUAGUAGAAAAUGAAGGAUUUCGGCUACUGGUGAACACACUGGAACCCAGAUACCAAAUCCCAUCACGCCCCCACUUUAGCCAGACUGUCAUGCCAACGCUUUACAGAGGAACAAAAAUCUAAGGUGGUUAAGGCACUCAGAAAGGCAGACAGCGUGUCAAUUACAACCAACAGCUGGACCUCCAGGGCUACCCAGAGUUAUCUUACAGUCACAGCCCAUGUGAUAAACAGUGAGUGGGAGAUGGACAGUUUUGUCCUUCAAACUCACCCUCUGUUUGAAACACACAUUAGGGGUAAUAUUGCUGAAGUUUUAAAAUCAUCUGUGAGUGAAUGGGGGCUUCAAAAGGCUAACUGUGGAAUUGCUGUUGUGAUGGACAAUGCAAGAUAUAUGGAUGUUGCUGUCAGAGAGGCUGGGCUAGCCCCUCAUGUCAGGUGUUUUGCCCACACUUUAAACUUGGCCAGCCAAGCGGGUUUGAGUGUGCCUCGAAUGAGCCGUUUGUUGGGUAGAAUAAGGCGCAUUGUUGCCUUCUUUCACAGAAGCUCUACAGCCGCGCUCAUGGCCAAACAGAUACUGCUGGAGCUUCCAGCGCACAAGUUAAUCAUCGAUGUCACUACGUGCUGGAACAGCAGUCUGGAUAUUAUAGAACACUAUCUCAAAUAGCAAGCAGCUGUGACAGCGACUCUCCUGAGCAAUGAUGUACGGCGAAAUGUACGUGACAUUGAUACUUUGGAUGGCUCAGACAUCCGUGAUGCGGAGGACAUAGUGAGGCUUCUUAAGCCACUAAAAACGGCUACCAUUGUGCUGUGUGAUGAAAAAAACCCAACGAUGUCUCUCAUUGUGCCCUUAAAGCAUAUGAUCGAGCAAAACAUGGCAUCCAACGAAGAAGACUGCCUAACCGUGAGUAACAUCAAGAGAGCUAUACUGAACAACCUUUCAAACAGAUACACCUGCUGGAGUGCACUAUCUUAGACCCCAGAUUCUGGGCUCUGCCACAUCUAGAGAUAAACCAGCGUGAAGAUGGAUUCCACAGACUGAAAGCGAAAGCUGUGUUGUUGCAGAACCAGGAUGAGGGUGAAGAAGGUGCCAGUGGCCACCCCCCUGCAUCAGAGGAGCCUCUUGGCCUCUUGACAGAUAGCGCAGGAGCUGAGCAUAAACAACCUCCUCCCAAGAAAACUGCACUGGAAGAUCUUCUUGGAGGGACUUUUGAUGAACCAGCUGCAGCUGCACAGCCUAUCAGUCAGAUUGAUGCAGAAUUGAAUCAGUGCA